CGAGCCACGGCCACGGCUUCUGUCCGACCCAUCUCCAUCUCUCAGCCCCUAAUCUCCCUCAUCUCUCCCAAAGAAACCCUAGAUCCCCAAAUCCUCACCGCCUCUUUGCGAUUUCCGGCGACCACGCAGCCAUGGCCGCCGCUGCUUCGACUCCCUCUAGCUCUGGUAGAACAGUAACAAAUCGCCGCCCUUCCCCACAUGGUAAGUAUUAAAUGUUUGACUAUUUUAAAUAUAGAAUUAUUGUUAUUUUAGAAAGAACAAAUUUUGGAAAGAAUUUUAACAAUGGAAACUCAUAACCUAGAUUUUUAGCUAUAAAUUACACGAAUCAUUCAGAAAUUGGUCGCAACUUUUUUUACAGCCAACGCAAGGUAUUGCUGCGUUUAUUUAUAUUUGUUCAUUGCUUAAGUUUUCUUUGUUUUUAAAUAAGUUCUGUUUAUAAUUUCUCUUUUUAUUUCUCCAUAUUGCAGCACCAAAAAUCUAAUAUUUUACCUCAUCGUGUUUUUACAAGCAAUUGCAAGGUACCCUUCUUCUUCUUUUGUUGUGUUUCUGUGAUUCACCUUUUUAUUUCUAUUUUCCAGAUUUUUGGUUUAGAUUUACUUCCCUGUUUUGCCGGUUUAAGUGUUCUGUUAGAUUUCUUGUGAUUUCUGUUAGAUUUCUUGUGAUUUCUUGAAAGCUUUCUUUUGUUGGCUGAUGGCUGUGUUCUGUAUUGAGAUAUGAGAAGUUUUCUGUUGUAAUAUAUUAGUUGUACGUUCUGCACCAGUUUCAAUUCAGAUAGCUUAUAUUAUUAGUUUGGUGAGUGGCAAUUUACUCAUGGAACUCUAGGUAUAAAUGUUAAAAUUUCUGGGAAUAAAAUUGGAGUAUAUAUUUGAUUGUGAAUUUGUGAUGCAACCCUGGGUGAAUAAAACAGAAUAAUAAUGUUAAGUUGUUUCUGUUUUGAUGCACUCAAUACGUAUACCCUGAGUCUAUCUAAUAGAUGUACACUAUGAAUUAAUCGUGUCUGUUUGAGUUGAUUACAGAUAAUAUACAGACCAACGGCGCUUACAACACAAGAGAGGAGAGUUUGAAGAGAGAAGUAAGCAUAGUCAAUCUCUCAAAGUUCAUAAUUUUCAUUUAUUUGUCUCUGGUACAUAGAGAUUUUGAUAAAUUGGAUUAGAUUGAUAGUGGAUGCUUCUACUUUUAGUUUUGGAAUGUACUGCUAUGUCUCCAUUUCACAUUUACCUUAGUGCAUGGUCAUCUAUCUAUAAUCGCAUUAGAUUUGGGCAAGCUAUCCAUUUUUGAGUUCAGUUUUACAUCUUCUUGGAAUUAUUCAUCCAUUCGAAGAAUUGCUGCUUUAGUGGCAUUUUUAACUUCAAUUUUUUGCUUGGAGAUUUCUGGAAUUUUGUGCGGAAUUGAAAUUUUGUGUGUGGAUUUCUGAAAUUUGACAGUGGGAUUGAUUAUGUGGGUGUUAUUGAA
rnacentral:lncRNA from 1 species